rnacentral:lncRNA from 1 species
CUACCCAGAAAUUCCUUCUGUGGCCUCCUCCGCAAACCUGCAGCAAAGUGGGGCUGGGCUGAAAUUUUCUCCCGUUGAACAAACACGCUCACUCACUCCAGGCUGGGCCUGGCCUCAUUCCAGCAGCUGAACGAGACCAGGCCCUGCCUUCGGAGAUUUGAAAGUGGAGCAGACAUCAGCCAACAGUCCCCACUCACCCUGACCCCGGGGCGGAGGAGGAAGCGGAGGUGUCACCCAGCUGUCACCUGCUCUGGGAGAGCCGGGCGGGAGCCAGCCAGGCUUCCUGCAGGGGACGAGAGCUGGGCCUUGAGUUCGGGUUUCAGCGGCAGCCGAGGGGCAGGCGGGUGGCUUCUGGGGGCUUCUGAGGGCGACCGACGCCUGGCGAGCAGCGAGCACCCACAGUGCUUCUUUGAUUUUCCAUGGGAAGAAUGUGUCUCCGACAGCUGCUCUCCCAAGGAGAAUAUGGAGUCACCUGGAGCCACUCUGAAUCCCUUGUCUGGAGCCAACCCCAGCUGCCUUCAGCCUGGAGCAGAGCUGCCUUCACCAAAGCACAGACACGUGAGUGAAAAAAAUAGAUGCUUAUCGUCGGACGCCACUGAGUUUUGAAGUGGUUUGUUAUGCAGCAAUACUGUGUCAACAGCCGACUGAUGCACCAUUUCACCUUGGGGCCGGAGCUCAGAGAGGAAGUGCAUGUAGAGGAAACCAUCUAAUUUCGGAGGAAUUAAAAAAUAUUGGGGCUGGUCCUCUAAGCCUCUCAGAGGAGUCCACCUUUGGUGCGAUGCCAUGUCUGAUAGUGGUGCGUGGGGAGGCAGCACCUUCCAGAAAUGGGCAGAGGUAGUGCCCUGGCUUCAUAUUCGAUGCUGGGACAGAGAUCCAGGAAUUCCCACAUGUCCGGUGGGGGGUGACGAAUGUCUGGGGGGAGCUCUCUGGUUUAUAUAGAUGAGAGCUUAGCACAGGGGCACCACAAAGCACAGGCCCUUGGGAUCUCAGGUUGCACAAGGUCUCCAGUUAUCAGCCUGACAUGCCGAGAUCAGACAAGGACCAGCCACCGGGGGUCCCCAGGGAAGACCCCAGCACAGGCUGCCCUUAUAGUAUGAGCACAUAGCAGUAGAGAAUAGAUACAUGUUGUUUUAAGCCACGGCAGCAACAGAAAACGACUGAAAGCUGGAAGCCUGUUGCUACUCUCCAGCAGCAGGGGAUUGUCUGAUAUAAGCUUGUUUUUGUAAAGAAAAAAAUGACAGAGAUUUAUGGGAGAGAGUAUAGAGCUGUGGUUACAAGUUCGGCCUUUGGAGGUAAACAGAUCUGAAGGUCUUCCUCUGGUUCCACGCUUCCCAGCUGUGUGAUCCUGGGCAAGUGACUUACCCUCUCCCAGCCUCAAUUCCUGCAUCGGUAAAUCUC